rnacentral:rRNA from 1 species
GCAUAUCAAUAAGCGGAGGAAAAGAAACCAACAGGGAUUGCCUCAGUAACGGCGAGUGAAGCGGCAACAGCUCAAAUUUGAAAUCUGGCCCGUCGGGGUCCGAGUUGUAAUUUGUAGAGGAUGUUUCGGGUACCGCCUCGGUUUAAAUUUCUUGGAACAGAAUGUCAGAGAGGGUGAGAAUCCCGUCUUGGACCGGCGGUAGGGCCUAUGUGAAACUCCUUCGACGAGUCGAGUUGUUUGGGAAUGCAGCUCAAAAUGGGUGGUAAAUUUCAUCUAAAGCUAAAUAUUGGCCAGAGACCGAUAGCGCACAAGUAGAGUGAUCGAAAGAUGAAAAGCACUUUGAAAAGAGAGUUAAACAGUAUGUGAAAUUGUUGAAAGGGAAGCGCUUGCAACCAGACUUGAGCGCGGCGGUUCCCCCCGGCUUCUGCCUGGGUUACUCCGCCGUGUCCAGGCCAACAUCGGUUCUGGGGGUCGGUCAAAGGCCCCGGAAAUGUACCUACCUACGGGUAGACUUAUAGACCGGGGUGUCAUGCGACCUCCCGGGACCGAGGAACGCGCUUCGGCUCGGAUGUUGGCGUAAUGGUUGUCAGCGACCCGUCUUGAAACACGGACC